UACGUAGGGUGCGAGCGUUGUCCGGAAUUAUUGGGCGUAAAGAGCUUGUAGGCGGCCUGGUAGGUCUGCUGUGAAAACUCGAGGCUCAACCUCGAGAUGUCGGCGGAAACCAUCUGGCUAGAGUCCGGAAGAGGAGAGUGGAAUUCCUGGUGUAGCGGUGAAAUGCGCAGAUAUCAGGAAGAACACCGAUGGCGAAGGCAGGUCUCUGGGCCAUAACUGACGCUGAGAAGCGAAAGCCAGGGGAGCAAACGGG
rnacentral:rRNA from 1 species